rnacentral:rRNA from 1 species
CGUAACGCGUAUGCAACCUACCUCUGACUGGGGGAUAGCCUUCCGAAAGGAAGAUUAAUACCGCAUAAAACAGUGAAAUGGCAUCAUUUUAUUGUCAAAACUCCGGUGGUUAGAGAUGGGCAUGCGUAAUAUUAGCUAGUUGGUGAGGUAAUGGCUCACCAAGGCUACGAUAUUUAGGGGGUCUGAGAGGAUGAUCCCCCACACUGGUACUGAGACACGGACCAG